rnacentral:rRNA from 1 species
GGGCGCAAGCUCUGAUGCAGCGACGCCGCGUGAGGGAUGGAGGCCUUCGGGUUGUAAACCUCUUUUAUCGGGGAGCAAGCGAGAGUGAGUUUACCCGUUGAAUAAGCACCGGCUAACUACGUGCCAGCAGCCGCGGUAAUACGUAGGGUGCAAGCGUUAUCCGGAAUUAUUGGGCGUAAAGGGCUCGUAGGCGGUUCGUCGCGUCCGGUGUGAAAGUCCAUCGCUUAACGGUGGAUCCGCGCCGGGUACGGGCGGGCUUGAGUGCGGUAGGGGAGACUGGAAUUCCCGGUGUAACGGUGGAAUGUGUAGAUAUCGGGAAGAACACC